rnacentral:piRNA from 1 species
UGCACAUGGCAAAGCUAAAACAGGGCAGC